GACGAACGCUGGCGGCGUGCCUAAUACAUGCAAGUAGAACGCUGAAGAGAAGAGCUUGCUCUUCUUGGAUGAGUUGCGAACGGGUGAGUAACGCGUAGGUAACCUGCCUGGUAGCGGGGGAUAACUAUUGGAAACGAUAGCUAAUACCGCAUAAAAUUGAUUAUUGCAUGAUAAUUAAUUGAAAGAUGCAAUUGCAUCACUACCAGAUGGACCUGCGUUGUAUUAGCUAGUUGGUGAGGUAACGGCUCACCAAGGCGACGAUACAUAGCCGACCUGAGAGGGUGAUCGGCCACACUGGGACUGAGACACGGCCCAGACUCCUACGGGAGGCAGCAGUAGGGAAUCUUCGGCAAUGGGGGGAACCCUGACCGAGCAACGCCGCGUGAGUGAAGAAGGUUUUCGGAUCGUAAAGCUCUGUUGUAAGAGAAGAAACGGGUGUGAGAGUGGAAAAGUUCAACACUGUGAA
rnacentral:rRNA from 1 species